AGUGAACGCUGGCGGUAGGCCUAACACAUGCAAGUCGAACGGCAACACAGUAAGAGCUUGCUCUUACGGGUGGCGAGUGGCGGACGGGUGAGGAAUACAUCGGAAUCUACUUUUUCGUGGGGGAUAACGUAGGGAAACUUACGCUAAUACCGCAUACGACCUACGGGUGAAAGCAGGGGAUCUUCGGACCUUGCGCGAUUGAAUGAGCCGAUGUCGGGUUAGCUAGUUGGCGGGGUAAAGGCCCACCAAGGCGACGAUCCGUAGCUGGUCUGAGAGGAUGAUCAGCCACACUGGAACUGAGACACGGUCCAGACUCCUACGGGAGGCAGCAGUGGGGAAUAUUGGACAAUGGGCGCAAGCCUGAUCCAGCCAUACCGCGUGGGUGAAGAAGGCCUUCGGGUUGUAAAGCCCUUUUGUUGGGAAAGAAAAGCAGCAGGUUAAUACCCCGCUGUUCUGACGGUACCCAAAGAAUAAGCACCGGCUAACUUCGUG
rnacentral:rRNA from 1 species